ACGGGAGGCAGCAGUGGGGAAUAUUGCACAAUGGGCGAAAGCCUGAUGCAGCGACGCCGCGUGAGUGAUGAAGUAUUUCGGUAUGUAAAGCUCUAUCAGCAGGGAAGAUAAUGACGGUACCUGACUAAGAAGCACCGGCUAAAUACGUGCCAGCAGCCGCGGUAAUACGUAUGGUGCAAGCGUUAUCCGGAUUUACUGGGUGUAAAGGGAGCGCAGGCGGUACGGCAAGUCUGAUGUGAAAGCCCGGGGCUCAACCCCGGUACUGCAUUGGAAACUGUCGAACUAGAGUGUCGGAGGGGUAAGUGGAAUUCCUAGUGUAGCGGUGAAAUGCGUAGAUAUUAGGAGGAACACCAGUGGCGAAGGCGGCCUGCUGGGCUCUAACUGACGCUGAGGCUCGAAAGUGUGGGGAGCAAACAGGAUUAGAUACCCUGGUA
rnacentral:rRNA from 1 species